GUGAAGUUGCUCAGUCGUGUCUGACUCUUAGCAACCCCAUGGACUGCAGCCCACCAGGCUCCUCCAUCCAUGGGAUGUUCCAGGCAAGAGUACUGGAGUGGGGUGCCAUUGCCUUCGUGUGUUUCUUCUAAGAGCUGCAUAUUUGUAGUUAUCCAGAAGCUCUUGAAGGAUGGAAGCAAUGUCAUCCACUAUAAUGGACAUAGCAAUGUCAACUACUCCAAGAAGCAGCUCUGUCCAUAACACCUCCUUAGGAAGCUUCUAGUAUAUAAUAAAUGAUCAACAUCUGUGUAUGUGUUUGGGGAGAGCAGGAGAGCAGGCUUUUAAAAUUGAACACAUUGGAAAACAUGGCUGAUUCAAACGAUGUGAACAGGUAUACAAUGUAGAUUAAUCUGCCCAGAAGCAGCCAAUUUUAGGGGUUUUCAAGGUCUUGCAUGCAAGUACAGGCACAUCUGGUGCUUCCCAGGUGACUCAGUGAAACAGGUUCGAUCCCUGGGUCAGGAAGAUCCCCUGGAGAAGGAAAUGGCAACCCACUCCAGUAUUCUUGCCUGGGAAGUCCCAUGGACAGAGGAGCCUGGCAGGCCUACAGUCUGUGGGGUCGCAAAAGAGUUGGACACAACUUAGCCACUAAACAGCAGGUGUAGCUGUAUAUUUGGUUUGCAAAAAAGGAGCAUGGUAGUGCGUGAGUGGAGGCGCUUGGCCUUUUCCGCUGAGAAUUGUAGUUUGGAAUAGUUCUGCAUGGCCGGUUACAGGUCCACUGUAGGUCUUUCCCUGUGAGAUACUAGGUCAUGGACCCAUUUCCCACAGAUGGAUUCCUUCCCUCUUAGAAAUGAUGUCAGCUGUGGUGCUUUGCUUGUUCUGUCUUUAUCUGUAUGCUGCAUUUCUAAGAAUGAAAUUUCUAGGCUGAAGUUUUCAGUAGUUGGAAUUUUGUUGUUGCUCCUUCCCCCAGGCCAGGAAGCACACCUCCACAGUCCUGGAUGAAAAGCCUGCGAGUCCUUCCUCAUUCCUCAGGCCCUCAUUCCCGCUGGGCACUUUAAAACUUCCGUCCUUAUCAUUGAUGGGUGAAAAAUGGAAUGGGUGUAUUUAUUUCCCUUGCUACCCCCCCCCCCCUUUUUUUUUUUCUUCUUAGAUUGUUGCUGUGAACCAGUUGGGGAAUGCUUGGUUUGGUAAGUUUAUUAAUACCUCUUCAUCAUAUGUAUUCUAUGUAUUUUUCCCAGUUUGUCUUUUAACUUUGUAUUUUCAUUUCGGAGCAGUAUUUUAUAUUUUAAGGUAAUUAAAUGAAUCAGUCUUUUUGCUUAUGAUUUCUGCUGCUCAGUAAGUAUUAAAUGAAUCCGGCUGCAAGCACUGCAGUUUGAUUCUACUCCACAAGCCUUAGCAAAGUGCCGACAGUGUGCAGAGUGCUGGGGUAACUGUCGGGAGGAGCAAGGCACCACUGGCCUCAGGAGACUUUGAGAUGCUCCCUGGAGGAUUGGCUCCUGGGAGGGGCAGAAGCAAGCUUCCCAGAGGAAGUGUGAAAUGCUUUAUUCUGAAAAGGAGAUUGAAUGAGGUGAACUGGUUCUGGUCUGCAGUUACAACCCCAGAAACAGCUUUCAUGGACAGGCACCUGCAUCAGAAGCGAGUGUGCUUGAUGCCUGAGAUGGCAGGGUGGCCGGUGCUGCCCCCUGGCCCCAGGCAGCUGACUCUCUCAGGGCCACCAGGCUCUGCCUCUGCCCUGGAUGGAGCUGUUGCACAACCAAAUGUAAAUCCACAUCGGAACACCUGCUUGCUUCUAGGAGACCUCCUGGCUUACAUUCUGCAAACCUGCUGGCCUAUAGGACCAGCCCCACUCACAGACAUUCCCUUGGGCUGUGCGCUGAGGUUCACUGUGUUUCAUCACUGUUUAUUUUUUCUCUUCUCAAAAUUUUAUUUUGGCCACACCAUGCGGCAUGUGGGAUCUUAAGUUGUGGCAUGUGAGAUCUAGUUCCCCAACCAGAGAUUGAACCUGGGCCCCCCUACAUUAGGAGGCAGAUUCUUAACCACUGGACCACCAGGGAAGUCCCCUCAUUACUGUGUUUAGAGACCACAGAUUAGCUCGAUACCAACUCAGACUUCUCCACCAGUCCUGAUCGUCGUCCUGGAGAAAUAAAGAGAAUUGGUGGGCUCUACCUGUCUUCAGGGUGGGUGGGGUGAAGGAGGGGCAAGUAUAGGGUGUUGAGACGGGAGUGGGGUGUGGGGAUUGUGGGGGAGGAGAGGGUGACCUGCCCAGUGUGGUGAACACUGAGGAAUAAGGUUGUUCACAGUGAAAAUAAAGCUUCCAACAGCAGAAAUCCACGUAAUACCCAGAAGCCAGACCCAAACUUGGUGUGAAAACGGCACUGCAUUUGGAGUUGUUCCCAGGACUGAGUUCAGGCUCUGCCACUUGCUGCCAUUACAACCUGAGCAAACCACUGACUCUUUCAAAGCCUUUCACCCCUGGGAAUACGUCUUUAAAAAACGCCAUAACUUCCUGUAGGUUGUCCCACAGCAGGUUUCAUGUGUGGCAUGCAAGUAGUUAUUAUUAAUAUUUCAAAUGCAUUGAUAAAAAGAUAGGGGAUUUAUAGGUAAUCCGUGAAAGCCUGGCUAAUUCUUGGUCUACUCUGAAAACUAUGAUAUAAACUAUGACAAUCUUCUUACUUGACCCCCUAAAAACAUCUCUGCUGGAGAAGAUUACAAAAAGUCAAACUCUUUGUUUCAUUUACUCCUUUACUUUUAUAGUUUUAUUAUAUAAUUUGGCCCAGAAUGUUGUCCUUAUAGAUUUCUUCUCACAUUCUGUUGUUCAGUCACUCAAUUGUGUCCAACUCUGUGACACCAUGGACUGCAGCACGCCAGUCUUCCCUGUCCUUCAGCAUUUCCUGGCGUUUGCUCAGAUUCAGGUCCUUUGAGUUGGUGAUGCCAUCCAACCAUCUCAGCCUCUGCUGUCCCCUUCUCCUCCUGCCCUCCAUCUUUCCCAGCAUGAGGGUCUUCUCCAGUGAGUCAGCUCUUCAGAUCACGUGGUCAGAGUACUGGAGCUUCAACUCCACACUCUACGCCCCCAUCCUAGUUGCUUCAUGUAUACCCGAAACCUCUGAUAAGCAAGAACAAGUAAACUUCAUUUUGGGGUGGGGGCAGAUUAUAAGAACAAGCUAUUUACCACAUCAGUCAGAAGUUUACUGUGCCUCGGUGCUUAGGGCCUGAGCUGCAUAAACCGAGCUGACUGGUCCUUCUGCCCACGGCUGGGAGCAUUCUGCUCCUUUUACAAAGCCAUCCUCUGCUCCGUUGAGGAGCAGACUCGUGGUGGCUCAGCUCUAUUUCACACCAGUCCUUGCCCUGUUCCAGAAGUAACCGUCUGCCAUCUGUACCCUCCCAGUGCCUGAGCUCCCCAUGCAGCACUGGUCCACUCUGUAACUAGGUGCGUGUUCUGUCAUGUGCCCAGCUGUAGACCUAUGUUGUCCCCAUUACAUCUUGUGCAAAACUGCAGAAGCAGAGGCUGACCUGACACUUCUGUUUGCGUGGCACCUUGCAGUUUUUAAGGCAGGGUCAGAAACGUCCUAUAAUCUUACAGCCCACCCUGUGGGAAGCCAGGCGUCUUCCUGGGUCGCAGAUACAGAAGCAAAACUUGCGCCCUAUAAGCUGUGAUCCACGCAGAUGCUGUGCGCCUCUGACCCUCAUGUUCCUCACCCCGCAUAGACACGGCCUCACAGCAUUUUCCAUUUUCUUCGCAGCUCCUGACUCUGCCUAGUGUUCCAGUUACUAUUCAUCAUUUAAUACUUAAUAAGUCUACACAAAUAAAAGGCUUCCACAUGGGAUGUAAACAUGAAUAUGGAUUUAUAUGAGUAAAUUUACAAGUUAAUUAGUGUGUGUGACCGUGUGACUGACUCUUCACUAAACCUCUAAGAAAUCUCCCCCAAAUGCUCGGUCCUGGGUGCUUGUGUCUUCUGCUCCAGAGAUGUCAGAGGAACAUGGCCACGCUGUUUGUCGUGAAGAGCAAGGAAGAGGAAGGCCAUGGUCUGGGUCAUCUGCAGAGAGAGGAGGGUCUCCUGGAUAAAAAGGUGGACUUUGUCAAUCUGGUGUGCUGAAGUGCUUCCUGACACACACCCGGGCUUCUUGGAGACUUGGGGACUCAUGGCCGGGAUGGGGGUGUUUCCACUUUGCGGUUCGUGGGCUUGGCAGCUGGGGCUGUCAUCUUGUCGCCCUUAAAACAUGGAUGAUAUCCUGUAGAACUGCAUUCCAGACCCUUGACAGCUUCUGUAUGUAAUUCCCACUUUUGAAGAAUGCCUUUCACAAGCUCUGUGGACUACAUUUCUUGGGAAAACAAGACCCAACAACAAUGCAAACAGCAGCACACCCUA